GGUUCCAUAGUGUAGCGGUUAGCACGUCGGCUUUACACGCAGAAGGUCCUGGGUUCUCACCCCAGUAGAGCCA
rnacentral:tRNA from 1 species